AUGACCAGCAGGGGGCGUGCGAGCCGCCGUGUCGGACCCCUGAGAAGCCCCCACCGCCUCCGUGCUCCUCCGGUGGCCGCCAGCGCCAGGACCGCAGUAAAGACCAGAACCUCAUUUUCCUCAGCACAGAUCUAAGCGGACACCGCCUCACUUUGGGACAACUUGAGGCUGCGUCAAUGAUCCUGGAAGUAUACUGUUAGUUUGUCUAUCUGGAAUCUUUCUUCUUUUGUGAGGCCAGAAGCUUCCUAAAGCACCAGAACUAUUUGUGAUUAAGUACAAAGUGUGGUUAUGAUCUACGGUUUCACGGAAACAGAAAUCUGGGCCAGUGGGAGAUGCUCCUGGGACAGUUGCCUUUGUCUAACUCAGCUUCACAGCAAAUGCUGCCAAAUGCUCUGGGCUUGUCCUGCACCUCAGGAGUGAGGAGGAUGUCUGUCGCAGGAGUCCCCAGAAAUGUCAGGUGUGUGGGAGGAUGGGGUCCUUCCCACCCACUCCCUAAGAUGUGAAUGUGGCAAAGAGAACUUCUUGUGAUAAGUAGAAGCUUUCUGGCACAAAAUGGCUUUGCAACAACUAAAUGGCACAAAAUGCUUUGCAAUAAGUAGAAGCUUUUCUCCUCGCAGGUAGUUUCGCCCACCGCCUCCCACCCCCACUGCCAUGAAACUCUGGGGAACAUGUUGUAUUUUCCCCAGCACUAUGUAACAGUCUCUGUGUUUCCAUAUCCAUGGUUGUUAAAGAAACUGAAUUUUUCAACUGUG